rnacentral:rRNA from 1 species
GACGAACGCUGGCGGCGUGCCUAAUACAUGCAAGUCGAACGCAGUGGGGACGGGUGAGUAACACGUUGGUAACCUCCCCUCAGAGGGGAUAACACUUGGAAACAGGUGCUAAACCGAUACUGAUGGAUGGACCCGCGGUGCAUUAGCUAGUGGGUGAGGUAACGGCUACCCAAGGCCACGAUGCAUCGCCGGCCCGAGAGGGUGAUCGGCCCCACUGGGACUGAGACACGGCCCAGACUCCUACGGGAUGCAACAGUAGGGAAUAUUCGGCAAUGGACGAAAGUCUGACCGAGCAACGCCGCGGGAGUGAAGAAGAUUUUCGGAUCGUAAAACUCUGUUGUUAGAGAAGCGGUAUCUAACCAGAAAGCCACGGCUAACUACGUGCCAGCAGCCGCGGUAAAAC